CAGCCGCCGCGGUAAUACGAAGGGGGCUAGCGUUGUUCGGAAUUACUGGGCGUAAAGCGCACGUAGGCGGACAUUUAAGUCAGGGGUGAAAUCCCGGGGCUCAACCCCGGAACUGCCUUUGAUACUGGGUGUCUAGAGUAUGGAAGAGGUGAGUGGAAUUCCGAGUGUAGAGGUGAAAUUCGUAGAUAUUCGGAGGAACACCAGUGGCGAAGGCGGCUCACUGGUCCAUUACUGACGCUGAGGUGCGAAAGCGUGGGGAGCAAACAGGAUUAGAUACCCCAGUAGUCCCUGUCUCUUAUAC
rnacentral:rRNA from 1 species